GGCAAACCGAUCGGAUCUCGAAAAUUAUGUACUUAUAUCAAAUAUCAUUUUAUCCAUAAAUAAUCAUAACAAUAUUGUCCCAAUAGUACACAAAUUGCGACCCGAGUGGUUUUCUUAGAACACUGGUUGUUACGACGAAAAUCAAGACUGUACCAAUUAUACAAAGACAGCUAAACACAUUGUUAUUGGCCUAACGCUUGCACUCAAAUAUAUUUUAUCAGCAUCGAACAUAUUAUUGCAAAUUAUUUGGGCUACAAUGAGACAAUUGACCUGAUUGCAUCAAAAAAGCACGAAAAAUAUGUUUUCCUAAGUAAUGUUACCUAUAUAUUAUUAGUUGUAUUACAA